AGACGUAGGGGGCGAGCGUUGUCCGGAAUUACUGGGCGUAAAGAGCACGUAGGCGGAUAUUUAAGUCAGGUGUGAAAGACCGCAGCUCAACUGCGGGGUUGCACUUGAAACUGAAUAUCUUGAGGGCAGGAGAGGUCAGUGGAAUUCCUGGUGUAGCGGUGAAAUGCGUAGAAAUCAGGAGGAACACCAGUGGCGAAGGCGACUGACUGGACUGACCCUGACGCUGAGGUGCGAAAGCGUGGGUAGCAAACAGGAUUAGAUACCCUGGUAGUCCACGCCGUAAACGAUGGAUACUAGGUGUGGGAGGUAUCGACCCCUUCCGUGCCGCAGCUAACGCAAUAAGUAUCCCGCCUGGGGAGUACGGUCGCAAGGCUGAA
rnacentral:rRNA from 1 species